rnacentral:rRNA from 1 species
CCCUUAGAUGUUCUGGGCCGCACGCGCGCUACACUGAUGCAUUCAACGAGUCUAAAACCUGCUCUGAUAGGGGUGGGUAAUCUUUUGAAUGUGCAUCGUAAUUGGGAUAGAUGAUUGCAAUUUUUCAUCUUCAACGAGGAAUGCCUAGUAAACGCAAGUCAUCAGCUUGCAUUGAUUACGUCCCUGCCCUUUGUACACACCGCCCGUCGCUCCUACCGAUUGAAUGAUCCGAUGAAUAUCAUGGAUUGAGGAUUAUAGCAGGUUCGCCUGUCUUGAUCUUCGAGAAGUGAAGUAAAUCUUAUCAUUUAGAGGAAGGAGAAGUCGUAACA